rnacentral:rRNA from 1 species
AAGCUUACCAAACUCAGUCAAACUCCGAAUGCCAAAGUGUUUAAAUAUAGCAGUGAGCCCGUGGGGGAUAAGCUCCACGGACGAGAGGGAAACAACCCAGAACAACAGCUAAGGCCCCUAAUUGUAUAUUAAGUGUGAAACGAUGUGAAAGUGUUCAGACAGCCAGGAGGUUGGCUUAGAAGCAGCCAUUCCUUUAAAGAGUGCGUAACAGCUCACUGGUCGAAUGUUUUCGCGCGGAAGAUGUAACGGGGCUAAAUAUACAGCCGAAGCUUUGUCAUCAUAUUAUUAAUCCAGAUUUCGAUCCAGGAAAUAUGAUGGGUAGGAGAGCGUUGUAUGGGCAAUGAAGCAGCAACGAGAGUUAGUUGUGGAGACCAUACAAGUGAGAAUGUUGGCAUGAGUAGCGAAGGAAGAGUGAGAAUCUCUUCCGCCGAAUGUCCAAGGGUUCCUGGGGAAGGUUCGUCCGCCCAGGGUUAGUCGGGACCUAAGACGAGGUCGAGAGACGUAGCCGAUGGAUAACAGAUUGAUAUUUCUGUACCACUAUAUAAGCGCCAAAAUCGAAUAUAUGUCGCUAAGGAAAGCCUUCGGGCCUACCGACCCACAUAUUAUUAGAUUAGCAAUGGAGUGACGGAGAAGGAUAAAUGAGCCCAGGCGAUGGUUGACCUGGGGUAAAUGCGUAGGGUGAUCGACAGGUAAAUCCAUCGAUCAUGAAACCUGAGACAUGAUGCCGAGCCGCUUUUAGGCGAAGUCAUUGAUUCCAUACUUCCAAGAAAACCUUCUAGUUAGUUUAUAUAGUGCCCGUACCCCAAACCGACACAGGUGGACAAGUAGAGAAUACUAAGGCGAGCGAGAGAACUCUGGUUAAGGAACUCGGCAAAAUAGUUCCGUAACUUCGGAAGAAGGAACGCCCCAGUAAAGUGAGUGAUUAACUUCAUUAGCUUGAACGGGCCGCAGUGAUCAGACUCAAGCGACUGUUUAUCAAAAACACAGGAGGGUGCAAAGUUCGAAUACAACGUAUACCCUCUGACACCUGCCCGGUGCUGGAAGGUUAAGUGGAUAGGUUAGCUUCGGCGAAGCUUUGAAAUUAAGCCCCAGUAAACGGCGGCCGUAACUAUAACGGUCCUAAGGUAGCGAAAUUCCUUGUCGGGUAAGUUCCGACCUGCACGAAUGGUGUAACGAUUUGAGUACUGUCUCAACCAGAGACUCGGCGAAAUUGCAAUGUGAGUAAAGAUGCUCACUAUGCGCGACAGGACGGAAAGACCCCGGAACCUUUACUGCAACUUGAUAUUGAAUGUUUGUAUGCAUUAUGCAGGAUAAGUGGGAGACUAUGAAAUAAUGGCGCUAGCUGUUAUUGAGUCGACCUUGAGAUACCACUUAAUCCAUAUUGACCUUCUAACCUAGAUCCGUUAUCCGGAUCAGGGACAUUGUCUGGUGGGCAGUUUCACUGGGGCGGUGGCCUCCUAAAAAGUAACGGAGGCGCUCUAAGGUCACCUCAGCGUGGACGGCAAUCACGCAUCGAGUGUAAGUGCAAAAGGUGGCUUGACUGUGACACAAACAAGUGGAGCAGGUACGAAAGUAGGAACUAGUGAUCCCAUGGUUGCAUGUGGGUGCGCCAUGGCUCAUCGGCUAAAAGGUACUCCGGGGAUAACAGGCUUAUACCCCCCAAGAGUCCAUAUCGACGGGGGUGUUUGGCACCUCGAUGUCGGCUCAUCUCAUCCUGGGGCUGGAGCAGGUCCCAA